CCCCAAAGUGUUGAGUUCAGUGCAGGGUCCUACUCCUGUUCUGGUAAUUAUACUUUGGGAAAGUGAAAGGCCAGGGGUUUUUGUACAUGGUGGCUGUGUAUGUGUCUGCUCCCACCAGGAGACCCCAGGCUAACAGUU